rnacentral:rRNA from 1 species
CUACGGGUGGCUCCAGUGAGGAAUAUUGCACAAUGGGGGGAACCCUGAUGCAGCAACGCCGCGUGGAGGAUGACGCAUUUCGGUGUGUAAACUCCUUUUAUAUGUCAAGAAAAUGACGGUAGCAUAUGAAUAAGCACCGGCUAACUCCGUGCCAGCAGCCGCGGUAAUACGGAGGGUGCAAGCGUUACUCGGAAUCACUGGGCGUAAAGGACGCGUAGGCGGGUUGGAAAGUCAGGUGUGAAAUCCUACAGCUUAACUGUAGAACUGCACUUAAAACUUCUAAUCUAGAGUAUGGGAGGGGGAGAUGGAAUUAGUGGUGUAGGGGUAAGAUCCGUAGAUAUCACUAGGAAUACCUAAAGCGAAGGCGAUCUCCUGGAACAUUACUGACGCUAAGGCGUGAAAGCGUGGGGAGCAAACAGGAUUAGAUACCCUAGUAGUC